rnacentral:rRNA from 1 species
AACAGGAUUAGAUACCCUGGUAGUCCACGCUGUAAACGAUGUCGACUUGGAGGUUGUUCCCUUGAGGAGUGGCUUCCGGAGCUAACGCGUUAAGUCGACCGCCUGGGGAGUACGGCCGCAAGGUUAAAACUCAAAUGAAUUGACGGGGGCCCGCACAAGCGGUGGAGCAUGUGGUUUAAUUCGAUGCAACGCGAAGAACCUUACCUACUCUUGACAUCCAGCGAACUUAGCAGAGAUGCUUUGGUGCCUUCGGGAACGCUGAGACAGGUGCUGCAUGGCUGUCGUCAGCUCGUGUUGUGAAAUGUUGGGUUAAGUCCCGCAACGAGCGCAACCCUUGUCCUUUGUUGCCAGCGAUUCGGUCGGGAACUCAAAGGAGACUGCCGGUGAUAAACCGGAGGAAGGUGGGGAUGACGUCAAGUCAUCAUGGCCCUUACGAGUAGGGCUACACACGUGCUACAAUGGCGCAUACAAAGAGAAGCGACCUCGCGAGAGCAAGCGGACCUCACAAAGUGCGUCGUAGUCCGGAUCGGAGUCUGCAACUCGACUCCGUGAAGUCGGAAUCGCUAGUAAUCGUGGAUCAGAAUGCCACGGUGAAUACGUUCCCGGGCCUUGUACACACCGCCCGUCACACCAUGGGAGUGGGUUGCAAAAGAAGUAGGUAGCUUAACCUUCGGGAGGGCGCUUACCACUCUGUGAUUCAUGACUGGGGUGAAGUCGUAACAAGGUAACC